rnacentral:lncRNA from 1 species
GGGAAGUGUAGAUCUUCUCAGUGAAAUUAAUGAAGGAACUUUUUCCCCAAGACAGGGAAAGAAGCACCACAGGGAAGAAGCAACUAAUAAAAACAAAGGAAAUCAAAAACCCCAGGGAAAGGAAAAUAAUAGGUAAUUUCUGAUUCUAUGAAAGAAAGAAAAGUUUGUUAGAAGAUACGGUUGGAUCUACUAGUCCUCAGAAGGUAAGCAAUAAUAGACAGUAGAGGGAAAAGAUAGAUGAAGGAGUUUUUAGAAUGAUUUCCAGAGAUGCCAUUGGGAAAUACUGCUUUCUUCUUAAAUAUGCCAGAAGAUUUCAAGCCUUGAAGUGGAUUCUAAAUGAGAAGUGAGAAAGAUAAACCUAGAAAGAGACCUCACAUAGAAUCAUCUUUUAUGUUCAUUUUCAUCUAGAUUGCUUUAUCACAUUAUUCUAAUUUCUCCCUAGCAACCAAAAGUAAAAAACUGGAGUAGAGAUGAACUCUUCAUAAGACUAAUGUCAAAUUAGUAGGACUACUAAAGUUAAAAGCAAAUGUGAUCAGAAAAUCCAAAGGAAUGUUCAAGCAAAUUACAAAAACUAGGGAUUUCAGCAAAAUCACUGGAUAAAUGAUUAAUAUACAAAAAUCAAUUACAUUUUUAUUAGAGCAAUUAAAACAUUAAAAUCUAAAAAUUAUCAUUUAUAUUCGAUUUUAGAAGUAUCAAAUACUUAAUAUAUUUACUUAAUAUAUUUAAAACUUCUACACUGAAACCUUAAAAAUUAUAACAUGGCUGAGAGACAUUAAUGGUGUCUUAAAUGGAGAAUUAUGCCAGGUUUAUGGAUAACAAUAUUUUUAAGAUGCAACUAUCCUCAAGUUGAUCUAUAGAUUCAAUGGAAUCUCAAUUAAAAUCCAGCCAGUUAUUUCGGUAGAAAUUGACUAGUGGACCCUAAAUUUUAUAUGGAAAUGCAAAGAACCUAUGACAGCCAAGAACAAAGUUAGAGUAUUUAUAAUACUAUAUAUAAUAUAUAUUAAUAUAUGUAGGUGAUUUAUCAUGCAUAAACUGAUGAUGUAGCCUUUGGGGGUUUCAGUUUUAUGGGGAAAAGAUUGUCUAUUAGAUUUUUUAUCUUCAGCAGGCCUAGGUUUUUGUUUUUUUAACUUUUCCAUUUAACAU